rnacentral:rRNA from 1 species
AGUCGAGGGGCAGCGGGGCGGCAGGCUUGCCUGCCGCCGCCGGCGACCGGCGCACGGGUGAGUAACACGUAUGCAACCUGCCCGUGGCAGGGGGAUAAGCGGGGGAAACCCCGUCUAAUACCGCGUAACGCGGCCUAGGGACAUCCCAAGGCCGCCAAAGGGAGCAAUCCCGGCCACGGAUGGGCAUGCGGCGCAUUAGCUAGUCGGCGGGGUAACGGCCCACCGAGGCGACGAUGCGUAGGGGUUCUGAGAGGAAGGCCCCCCACACUGGUACUGAGACACGGACCAGACUCCUACGGGAGGCAGCAGUGAGGAAUAUUGGUCAAUGGGCGCGAGCCUGAACCAGCCAAGUCGCGUGAGGGAGGACGGCCCUACGGGUUGUAAACCUCUUUUGCCGGGGAGCAACGGGCGCCACGUGUGGCGCCACUGAGAGUACCCGGAGAAAAAGCAUCGGCUAACUCCGUGCCAGCAGCCGCGGUAAUACGGAGGAUGCGAGCGUUAUCCGGAUUUAUUGGGUUUAAAGGGUGCGUAGGCGGAUCGUUAAGUCAGUGGUCAAAUUGUGGGGCUCAACCCCUUCCCGCCAUUGAAACUGGCGAUCUUGAGUGGAAGAGAAGUAUGCGGAAUGCGUGGUGUAGCGGUGAAAUGCAUAGAUAUCACGCAGAACCCCGAUUGCGAAGGCAGCAUGCCGGCUUCCUACUGACGCUGAAGCACGAAAGCGUGGGGAUCGAACAGGAUUAGAUACCCUGGUAGUCCACGCGGUAAACGAUGAGCGCUAGGUGUCCGGGGGGAAUGGCCCCUGGGUGCCACAGCGAAAGCGUUAAGCGCUCCACCUGGGGAGUACGCCGGCAACGGUGAAACUCAAAGGAAUUGACGGGGGCCCGCACA